rnacentral:sRNA from 1 species
CUUUAGCCCCGAUACAAGUGAAAAUCCUUUUUGUUUUUUCUUUAAAAACAAAAAGAUUGUAACGGAUAGCGGGUACUAUA